GCUCUAUCUGGCAGUGUGAAUACUAAAAUUUGAAUAAUACAGAGACUUCGUAUGGCCCCUGUGUAAGUAUGACGUGUAAAUUUAUGAAGUGUUCUAUAUUUUU
ensembl:snRNA U6 U6 spliceosomal RNA